AAUCCCGUUGAUCCUGCGGGAGGUUGCUGCUAUUUGGAUUCGACUAAGCCAUGCAAGUCAAGGGUUCUUCGGAAUACCGGCAAACUGCUCAGUAACACGUCGAUAAUCUGCCCUUAGGUCAGGAAUAACCUCUGGAAACUGAGGCUAAAACCUGAUAUGGGAAUUCUACUGGAAGGUGUUUUCUCUUAAAAGCAAUGCCUAAGGAUGAGUUGGCGGUCGAUUAGGUUGUUGGUGAGGCAACGGCUCACCAAGCCUAUGAUCGAUAGGGGCCUUGAGAGAGGUAACCCCGAGAAGGGCACUGAGAUACUGGCCCUAGCCCUACGGGGUGCAGCAGGCGCGGAACCUUUACAAUGCACGAAAGUGUGAUAAGGGAAUCCAAAGUGCUUUGCUUUUAGCAAGGCUUUUGCCAAGAGUAAAUAUUUUGGCGAAUAAGUGGUGGGUAAGACUUGUGCCAGCCGCCGCGGUAACACCAGCGCCACAAGUGGCAAUCACUUUUAUUGGGCCUAAAGCGUCCGUAGCCGGUCUAGUAAAUUUCCUGUGAAAUCGUUAGGCUUAACUUAACGGUAUGCAGGAGAGACUACUAGACUUGGGACCGGGAGGCGUCAGAGGUAUUUCUGAGGGAGCGGUAAAAUGCUAUAAUCUCAGAAGGACCCCCUGUGGCGAAGGCGUCUGACGAGAACGGAUCCAACGGUGAGGGACGAAAGCUAGGGGAGCGAACCGGAUUAGAUACCCGAGUAGUCCUAGCUGUAAACACUGCGAACUAGGUGUUGCAUAUUCUUCGGGAAUGUGCAGUAUCGAAGCGAAGGUGCUAAGUUCGCCGCCUGGGAAGUAUGGUUGCAAGACUGAAACUUAAAGGAAUUGGCGGGGGAGCACUACAAGGGGUGCAGCGUGCGGUUUAAUCUAAUUCAACACAGAGAAUCUCACCAGAAGCGAUGGCAGGAUGAAGGUCAGGUUAAAGGCCUUACCUAACAGGCCAAGAGGUAGUGCAUGGCCGUCGUCAGCUCGUGCCGUAAGGUGUCCUGUUAAGUCAGGCAACGAGCGAGACCUAUACUUACAAUUGCCAUCAAGCUUAGCGAUUGGGCACAUUGUGAGAACUGCCCUUGAAAAGGGGAGGAAGGUGUAGGCUACGGUAGGUCUGUAUGCUCCGAAUCUUCUGGGCUACACGCGCGCAACAAUGGCAGAAACAAUGGGAUGCGACUCCGAAAGGAGAAGCCAAUCUUCUAAAUUCUGUCUUAGUCCAGAUCGAGGAUUGUAACUCAUCCUCGUGACGUUGGAAUCCCUAGUAAUCAGAUUUUAUCAAAGUCUGGUGAACAUGUCCCUGCUCCUUGCACACACCGCCCGUCAAACCACCCGAGUAGGGUUUAAAUGAGGCUUAAUUUUAAAUUAAGUCGAAUCUAAGCUCAGCGAGGAGGGUUAAGUCGUCACAAGGUAGCCGUAGGGGAACCUGCGGCUGGAUCACCUCCU
rnacentral:rRNA from 1 species